GAAAAGAGAGGAGUCAAAGAGCUAUUGAUUACUGGAUUGACCAUACCGGUUGCCUCUUUUGUUUCUUACCAAUGCUCAAUAUGUCUCUUUUGGGAAUAUGAAAUGACCAGAAUGCCCAUCACAAUGCUCGAGGAGAUGCAACAAGACCCAAUACCACAAGCCCUGCAUGUUUUUCUGUCAGAAGUGCUGCAGGAAGUGCCUGUGUGUUCCUCCGGGUUAUUAUGGUAAUAAGGCUGUGUGCCCUUGCUACAACAACUGGAAGACCAAGGAGGGAGGACCCAAGUGCCCUUGAGCUUCAACCUCAUCAACAUCAAAUGUUGCUUUCUUAUAUAUUUAUCACUUCCUUCAUUGUUCCAUUUAAGGCACUAGCUUACUUCCCUACUAUUCACAUGUCCUAACUAAAUGAUAUAGCCCCUUGUGGUGGCACUAUGAUGUAUGUUUUCUUAUGAAUUUUGGGAUGUCCUCCCUCUAAGGACCACAUCCGUAGUAUCACUCCUUAGGACUUGCUUUCCUUUCAUGUGAGUGGCUUACUUAUAUCAAUACAUCAUCUGUGGAACUUAUUUCUAGUUUAAUGUCUUAUAAUUUUGGAAUCAAUGGGGGCUUCGGUGAUGCAUUGAAUCAUUGAAUAGAUAAUUGGGUUACUUCAUUCUUAUUACAAAGAGCAAUCUUUUUUCCCUGUCAGAGUAGUGUAGUUUCUUCUUUACAAGGUCCCUAUUUAUUACCAGAUAGGUGUGCAUGUGAUAAGGCAAAAGUGAUGCUCUUGCUC
rnacentral:lncRNA from 1 species